rnacentral:rRNA from 1 species
UACGAAGGGGCUAGCGUUGUUCGGAAUUACUGGGCGUAAAGCGCACGUAGGCGGAUUUGUAAGUCAGGGGUGAAAUCCCGGGCUCAACCUCGGAACUGCCUUUGAUACUGCAAGUCUCGAGUCCGAUAGAGGUGAGUGGAAUUCCUAGUGUAGAGGUGAAAUUCGUAGAUAUUAGGAAGAACACCAGUGGCGAAGGCGGCUCACUGGAUCGGUACUGACGCUGAGUGCGAAAGCGUGGGAGCA